rnacentral:lncRNA from 1 species
GAAAUUUGGAGCCAAUUCGAACAAAUACCAAGGGAUUUUUAAAUAUAGCCAAAUAUUAUUGGUAAAAUAAAAAGCUCAACAAGAUAAAGGAACAAAUUAAAAGAACAAAAUCAGAAGAUUCAAGAGAAAAAAAUCAUAAAAACAAAUUAUUGCAAUCACGUUUCCUUUUAAUGAAACAAUUCAAAAUCAAUAGUAAGGCGCCUUGUAGACAUAUGGGGGUGGUGGAGACUUGUAAGUGACCUUUGGAGAAGGAGAAUAGUAUGGUGGAGGUGGAGAGUUAUACACGUAUGGUGGUGGUGGAGAUUUGUAAUGAACCUUUGGAGAAGGAGAGUAAUAUAGUGGGGGUGGGGAGCUGUAAACGUAUGGUAGUGGUGGAGACUUGUAGUCAACCUUUGGAGAAGGAGAAUAAUAUGGUAGGGGUGGGAAGCUAUAGACGUAUGGUGGGGGGGUAGACUUGUAGUCAACCAUAGGAGAAGGAGAGUAGUAUGGUGGGGGCGGAGAACUGUAAACGUAUGGUGGUGGGGGAGACUUGUAGUUAACCUUAGGCGAAGGAGAGUAGUAUGGUGGGGGUGGGGAGCUGUAGACGUAUGGUGGUGGUGGAGAUUUGUAGUUUACCUUAGGCGAAGGAGAGUAGUAUGGUGGGGGAUGGGAGCUGUAGACGUAUGGUGGUGGUGGAGAUUUGUAGUUUACCUUAGGCGAAGGAGAGUGGUAUGGUGGGGGAGGGGAACUGUAGACGUAUGGUGGUGGUGGAGACUUGUACUCAACCUUUGGUGAAGGAGAGUAGUAAGGUGGGGGAGGGGAGCUGUAGACGUAUGGUGGUGGGGGAGACUUGUACUCAACCUUUGGUGAAGGAGAGUAGUAAGGUGGAGGAGGGGAGCUGUAGACGUAUGGUGGUGGGGGAGACUUGUAAUCAACCUUAGGUGAAGGAGAGUAGUAUGGUGGGGGCGGGGAGCUGUAGACGUAUGGUGGUGGGGGAGACUUGUACGCAACCUUUGGUGAAGGAGAGUAGUAAGGUGGGGGCGGAGAGCUGUAGACGUAUGGUGGUGGGGGAGACUUGUACGCAACCUUUGGCGAAGGAGAGUAGUAUUGUGGGGGCGGGGAGCUGUAGACGUAUGGUGGUGGGGGAGACUUGUAGUCAACCUUAGGCGAAGGAGAGUAGUAUGGUGGGGGUGGAGAGCUGUAAACAUACGGUGGUGGUGGGGACUUGUAGUCAACCUUUGGAGAUGGAGAGUAGUAUGGUGGGGGUGGGGAGCUGUAGACGUAUGGUGGUGGUGGGGACUUGUAGUAAACUUUUGGAGAUGGUGAGUAGUACGGUGGGGGUGGAGAGCUGUAGACAUAUGGUGGUGGUGGGGACUUGUACUCUACCUUAGGAGAAGGAGAGUAGUAUGGUGGAGGUGGAGAAUUGUAGACGUACGGUGGUGGGGGAGACUUGUAUUCAACCUUUGGCGAAGGAGAGAAGUAUGGUGGGGGUGGGGAACUGUAGACGUACGGUGGUGGGGGAGAUUUGUAGUCAACCUUUGGCGAAGGAGAGUAGUAUGGUGGGGGUGGGGAGUUGUAGACGUACGGUGGUGGUGGGGACUUGUAGUCAACCUUUGGAGAUGGAGAGUAGUACGGUGGGGGUGGAGAACUGUAGACAUAUGGUGGUGGUGGGGACUUGUACUCUAUCUUAGGAGAAGGAGAGUAGUAUGGUGGAGGUGGAGAAUUGUAGACGUACGGUGGUGGUGGAGACUUGUAUUCAACCUUUGGCGAAGGAGAAUAGUAUGGUGGGGGUGGGGAGCUGUAGACGUAUGGUGGUGGAGGAGACUUAUAGUCAACCUUCGGAGAAGGAGAAUAGUAUGGUGGAGGUGGGGAACUGUAGACGUAAGGUGGUGGUGGAGACUUAUAAUCAACCUUUGGUGAAGGAGAAUAGUAUGGUGGAGGUGGAGAGUUGUAGACGUUUGGUGGUGGUGGAGACUUAUAGUUUACUUUUGGAGAAGGAGAAUAGUAUGAUGGAGGUGGUGGAGAAAUA